rnacentral:rRNA from 1 species
AGAGAGAGACAUGCGCGCAUAUCAAUAAGCGGAGGAAAAGAAACUAACUAGGAUUCCCUCAGUAACGGCGAGUGAAGCGGGAAGAGCUCAAAUUUGAAAUCUUCAAGGUUCUACCUUGACGAAUUGUAGUUUAAAGAAGUGUUUUCUGUUGAAGUUUUGGUAAAAGUUCUUUGGAAUAGGACAUCAUAGAGGGUGAGAAUCCCGUAUUUGACCAUUAUUUUCCAGCUUUGUGAUACACCUUCAAAGAGUCGGAUUGUUUGGGAAUGCAGUCCAAAAUGGGUGGUAAAUUUCAUCUAAAGCUAAAUAUUGGCGAGAGACCGAUAGCGAACAAGUACCGUGAGGGAAAGAUGAGAAGAACUUUGAAAAGAGAGUUAAACAGUACGUGAAAUUGUCAAAAGGGAAGCGUUUGACACCAGUGUUGUUUUCUCGAAAAUCAAUUGAAAAAUGGCUAGGAUUUUGUAUCGUUGUAUUGACCUUAAUCAGCUUCACUGCUACAUCUUUUCGUGUCUUUUUUAAUGCACUUUUCGUUUAACAAGUCAACAUCAGUUUCUUUUGUUGUAAAGGGGUCAUUGGAAGGUGGCUUUCUUUUCGGAGAAAGUGUUUAUAGCCUUUGGCCUCUGCAAUCGGAGAGAUUGAGGUCUGCAGCGUAGACUCCUUCGGGGUUAGAUACAUUUGUGCUAAGUUAUAGCCUUUUCAUAGACAACUUGUUGACUAUAAUCAGUCCAUGUAGCUUACUCGCUUAUGCUAUUUUACCUACGCUUAGGAUGUUGAGUCGUAGAGCACGCAG